UCAAUCUGGAAAAUGAAGAUGAAGGAAAUCAAACUAAAAUAGAUAUAGAACACCUACUACAGCCACCUUCAGGGCGUGAAAGAAGACCUCCAUCUUGGCUAAAUGACUACAUCUGUCAUGGAACAACAAAUCAACAAGGUAAAGAGUUAUGAGGAAGCCAUUAAGGAUUCUAGAUGGAUUGAUGCCAUGAAUGCUGAAAUGAGGGCUUUGGAAGACAACAAAACCUGGGAAACCUGCUUAAAGGUAAGAAACCCAUAGGAUGUAGGUGGGUCUAUAAAAAGAAAUAUAAGGUUGAUGGUAGCUUAAAACGUUGUAAAGCUAGGUUGGUAGCCAAGGACUAUAGCCAACAAGAGGGAAUUGAUUAUUUUGAAACCUUUUCUUCCAUUGUAAAAAUGGUUGUAGUAAGAACUGUACUUGCCCUUGUUGCAAUUAAUAAUUGGCCUCUUUUUCAAAUGGACGUUCACAACACCUUCUUGCAAGAAGACUUGCAUGAAAAGGUUUAUAUGAAUAUCUCACAAGGAUUUGAUCGUAUGGGAACUAAUAAAGAUGCCAAAUUGACCAAAUCUUUGUAUGACCUCAAAUAAGCAUCAAGGCAAUGGAAUGCAAAACUUACUGAAGUUUUAAUCCAAGAGGGUUUAGGCAAAGUGGAUAUGACUACUCUUUGUUUAUUAAACAAAAUAAAUCUAAUAUAACUCUUAUUUUGGCUUAUGUUGAUAAUGUGGUUGUCACUGGAAAUAAUACGCAGCAUAUAAAUGCCAUUAAACAACAUCUACAUUACAUGUUUAAAAUAAAGGACCUAAGUGAUUUGAAGUAUUUCUUAAGGAUUAAACUAGCCAGGUCAAAUGUAUUGUUCUCACUCAAAGAAAAUAUGCAUUGGAUUUAAUAUCUCACAUGGGUCUUAGUGGAGCAAAGCCACUAAGUGUCCCAAUAGAACAAAGUUAGUGAUUAUGUGCAGAAGGCAAAGUCACUCCCAAGAGCAAGAAAAAGAAGAAAGAAAGAAAAAGGAGGAUCCAUUACUACAGAACUCAAGUUCAUACAGGAAAUUGGUAGGGAGCUUAUCUUACCCAACUACCACUAGGCCUGCUUCAAGCUUUAUUGUGCAGAACCUAAGUCAGUUCCUGAGUGCGCCAAGAAAAUCACACAUGGAGGCUGUUGUUCAGGAAGAUAGAGCCUUGUGCAGAGGGUAAAUCCGUGUACCAUCAAUUUUGCAAAAUGAUCCAAAUAAGAUGAGCAUUCUCAGAAAAAACAAUCUCGUUGGCUAUUUGCUUAUCUACCGAGAGCUAAGAAAUCACCAUGGCAUUGCACUGGUCCCAUUGGUCACGCAGCUUGGGACUCUCUGAUGCAGGUGCCAUCAAGCAAUCCUAGUUUAUUCUUUCUAAGGAUAGCAAGACAAAUGGCCCCAUUUCAAACCGUGUAAUUGUUGGAACCAGUCAAGAUUUAUGAGACCAAGGUGGAGAUUUGUGCAUCAGAAGGGUGAAGGUAAAGUGGCUGGUUGAAAUCAAUCAAAAUAGAAGACAAGGAGGAAUCUUUCUCUUCAUGGGGCAUUUCAACGGAGGCUUAAACUUGGGCUACAAUUUUUCACUGAUGUGGAGAAUUGAGAAUGAUUGGCGAAUUGAGGACAAAUUUUGAACUGGGAUUGAUAGUGAUUUGCAAGGAGACAGAUGGAAAUACACACAAAGAGAAAGAGGCCAGGGCAUCAACACACGAUGGUUUUGGAUUGAGACACUUUACAUUGUGUUCGAUGAAGAAAGUAAACUCAAGAAGCUGUCUUGAUUUUUGUUUUCUUGUUUUUUUUUACGAUGCCAUUUCUUGAUUAACUGAUGAAAACGUUUUUGUUCGGCCUUG